UACUGCUAUUCAUGAAAAGAAACUGAACAUUCGGAAACAAAAUCUAAGCAGAAGUUCAUUGGAUAACGGUGUUUGGAUCAGCUUAUGUACAAC